GAUGAACGCUGGCGGCGUGCCUAAUACAUGCAAGUCGAGCGAACGGACGAGACGCUUGCUUCUCUGAUGUUAGCGGCGGACGGGUGAGUAACACGUGGAUAACCUACCUAUAAGACUGGGAUAACUUCGGGAAACCGUAGCUAAUACCGGAUAAUCUUUUGAACCGCAUGGUUCAAAAGUGAAAGACGGUCUUGCUGUCACUUAUAGCUGGAUCCGCGCUGCAUUAGCUAGUUGGUAAGGUAACGGCUUACCAAGGCAACGAUGCAUAUCCGACCGGAGAGGGUGAUAGCCCACACGGGAACGGAGACACGGUCCAUACGCCUACGGGAGGCAGCAGUAGGGAAUGUUCCGCAAUGGGCGAAAGCCUGACGGAGCAGCGCGGCGUGAGUGAUGGAGGUCUUCGGAUCGUAAAACUCUGUUAUUAGGGAAGAACAUAUGUGUAAGUAACUGUGCACAGCUUGACGGUACCUAAUCAGAAAGCCACGGCUAACUACGUG
rnacentral:rRNA from 1 species